CUCACCCCUCAAGCUAUGCUUGGUGUUGGGCGUUGUCCUGCCUCCGGUACGGACUCGCCUUAAAAUCAUUGGCGGCCUUUGAAUUUGGGCUACGAGCGCAGCACAUUAGCGCCUCGACCCGCGUCACUGGCAUCCAGUAAGCGAAAACCAUAG
rnacentral:misc_RNA from 1 species